rnacentral:lncRNA from 1 species
AUGAAGAAUGAGAGUGAAGGAAGCUGUUUCAUGGCAACAGGAGUGACUUUGCCAAGGUUAGCCAAGAACAGCAACUGUGGGAAUCUUCAUCCCUGUACUCAAUACAGCAAUAUCAUCAGAAAGAUGGCUGUCAACACAAAUUGUAUGGAAAACUUCAGGGUUGGAACACUGUCUAGGAGCAGGAGGGCUGAGGAAAAGGCAUGGAAGGAAGAGGAAGAACAGCAAAUCAUCAGGGUAUUUGAGUUGCAGCAGCCAUGCAUGGUUUGCCUCAGAUGUCCUUCUGGAUCCUUGCAGUAAAUGCUGCAGGGCCUUUUGAAAAACCCUGUCCUCUUUUCUCACUGUGAUGAUACUUUUGCCACUUCUGGGAGGCAAGGAAGAGAGUGUAGAAGAAGGAUGUCCUGGCUGGGACAACAACUACAGAACUCCAGGGAAAUAGAGGCCUGGUACAAGUGCAAGAGAGCUGAGGAAAAGGCACAGAAGGGAGAGGAAGAACCUGCUGCAGAUGGGACAGAGGAAGGAGUAGCAACAGAGGUUCCAAUACCUCUUGACCUGCUCCAACAGGUCCACAGGCCUCAGAGCUGAAUGUGGUAUCCUAGGUAUGUUCUCAUGAGAGUGGAAUAGAGGGGGAGAAUCCACUCCCUUUAAACUUACCUCCAAAAGACAGCUUCAGCCUGGUAUUUUAAAAGAAAUGGAAAAGAAUCCUGGAAAAGACAAUCAGUAGAGGCGGUACUAGCGCUGCCAUGCGCAGUUUUGUUCAGUUAUGGAUGUGAUUGGUUAAUGCAAUGAAUCAAGUUGGUUUUAUCACAACCUGUGAGUGUUUGAGGUCACUCGGUCUGUUCAGCCAGCAGGAAACUGAGGGGAGAUCAUUGCAGUUACAACUUCUUCCUGAGAGGAAGAGCAGGGGAAGGCACUGAUCUCUUCCCUGUGGUGCCCAGGGACAGAACCCAAGGGAAUGGCCUGUAGUUGUGUCAGGAGAGGUUUAGGUUGGAUAUCAGGAAAAGGUUCUUGACCCAGAGGAUGGCUGGACACUGGCUGAGGUUCCCCAGGGUCCCAGCACCAAGCCUGGCAGAACUCAGAAAGCUUUUGGACAAUGCUCCCAGGGACACGGUUUGACUCUUGCUGCGUCUUGUGCAGAGCCAAGACUUGGACUCGAUGAUCUUCUUGGGUCGCUUCCAACUCAGGGUGUUCUGUGAUUCUGUGAAGCACGGCUUUGCUGACACUUAGCGCCCUCAGAGCUUCGGGUUCUAUUUCAGCCCCUCGCUUUGGGAAGGAAACCCAGGGAACAGCACCAUGGAAA